rnacentral:rRNA from 1 species
UACGGGGGGGGCAAGCGUUGUUCGGAAUUACUGGGCGUAAAGGGCUCGUAGGCGGCCAACUAAGUCAGACGUGAAAUCCCUCGGCUUAACCGGGGAACUGCGUCUGAUACUGGAUGGCUGGAGUUUGGGAGAGGGAUGCGGAAUUCCAGGUGUAGCGGUGAAAUGCGUAGAUAUCUGGAGGAACACCGGUGGCGAAGGCGGCAUCCUGGACCGGUAUUGACGCUGAGGCGCGAAAGCUAGGGGAGCAAACGGG